GACCUCGGAUCAGACGUGAGUACCCGCUGAACUUAAGCAUAUCACUAAGCGGAGGAAAAGAAACUAACCCAGGAUCCC
rnacentral:rRNA from 1 species